GGACCAUUAGCUCAGUCGGUUAGAGCAAACGGCUCAUAACCGUUCGGUCGAUGGUUCGAAUCCGUCGUGGUCCA
rfam:Enterococcus faecalis V583, complete genome.